rnacentral:rRNA from 1 species
UAGGGAAUAUUAGUAAUGGGCGAAAGCCUGAACUAGCAACACCGCGUGUGCGAAGAAGGCCUUCGGGUUGUAAAGCACUUUUUGGAAGGAAUAGGAAGGAAUGUACUUCCAGAAUAAGUCUCGGCUAACUACGUGCCAGCAGCCGCGGUAACACGUAGGAGGCGAACGUUAUCCGGAUUUACUGGGCGUAAAGCGCGUGUAGGUGGUUCUGUAAGUAGGGCGUGAAAGCUCCUGGCUCAACUGGGAGAGGCCGUUCUAAACUACAGAACUAGAGGAUGGUAGAGGGAGGUGGAAUUCCGGGUGUAGCGGUGGAAUGCGCAGAUAUCCGGAGGAACACCAGUGGCGAAAGCGGCCUCCUGGACCAUUCCUGACACUCAGACGCGAAAGCUAGGGUAGCAAACG